rnacentral:rRNA from 1 species
GAGGAGCCCAGAGCCUGAAUCAGUGUGUGUGUUAGUGGAAGCGUCUGGAAAGGCGUGCGAUACAGGGUGACAGCCCCGUACACAAAAAUGCACAUAUUGUGAGCUCGAUGAGUAGGGCGGGACACGUGGUAUCCUGUCUGAAUAUGGGGGGACCAUCCUCCAAGGCUAAAUACUCCUGACUGACCGAUAGUGAACCAGUACCGUGAGGGAAAGGCGAAAAGAACCCCGGCGAGGGGAGUGAAAAAGAACCUGAAACCGUGUACGUACAAGCAGUGGGAGCCUCUUAAUGGGGUGACUGCGUACCUUUUGUAUAAUGGGUCAGCGACUUAUAUUCUGUAGCAAGGUUAACCGAAUAGGGGAGCCGAAGGGAAACCGAGUCUUAACUGGGCGUUAAGUUGCAGGGUAUAGACCCGAAACCCGGUGAUCUAGCCAUGGGCAGGUUGAAGGUUGGGUAACACUAACUGGAGGACCGAACCGACUAAUGUUGAAAAAUUAGCGGAUGACUUGUGGCUGGGGGUGAAAGGCCAAUCAAACCGGGAGAUAGCUGGUUCUCCCCGAAAGCUAUUUAGGUAGCGCCUCGUGAAUUCAUCUCCGGGGGUAGAGCACUGUUUCGGCAAGGGGGUCAUCCCGACUUACCAACCCGAUGCAAACUGCGAAUACCGGAGAAUGUUAUCACGGGAGACACACGGCGGGUGCUAACGUCCGUCGUGAAGAGGGAAACAACCCAGACCGCCAGCUAAGGUCCCAAAGUCAUGGUUAAGU